rnacentral:rRNA from 1 species
AGAAUCAACGCUGGCGGCGUGCCUAACACAUGCAAGUCGAACGAGAAAGUGGAGCAAUCCAUGAGUAAAGUGGCGCACGGGUGAGUAACACGUGACUAACCUACCCUUGAGUGGGGGAUAACCUCGGGAAACCGGGGCUAAUACCGCAUAAUAUCGAGAGAUCAAAGGAGCAAUUCGCUUAAGGAGGGGGUCGCGGCUGAUUAGCUAGUUGGUGAGGUAAUGGCUCACCAAGGCUAUGAUCAGUAUCCGGUCUGAGAGGGCGCACGGACACACUGGAACUGAAACACGGUCCAGACUCCUACGGGAGGCAGCAGUGGGGAAUUUUGCGCAAUGGGGGAAACCCUGACGCAGCAACGCCGCGUGGAGGAUGAAGUCCCUUGGGACGUAAACUCCUUUCGAUCGGGACGAUAAUGACGGUACCGGAAGAAGAAGCCCGGCUAACUUCGCGCCAGCAGCCGC